rnacentral:rRNA from 1 species
GACGAACGCUGGCGGCGUGCUUAACACAUGCAAGUCGAACGGAAAGGCCCUGCUUUUGUGGGGUGCUCGAGUGGCGAACGGGUGAGUAACACGUGAGUAACCUGCCCUUGACUUUGGGAUAACUUCAGGAAACUGGGGCUAAUACCGGAUAGGAGCUCCCGCUGCAUGGUGGGGGUUGGAAAGUUUCGGCGGUUGGGGAUGGACUCGCGGCUUAUCAGCUUGUUGGUGGGGUAGUGGCUUACCAAGGCUUUGACGGGUAGCCGGCCUGAGAGGGUGACCGGCCACAUUGGGACUGAGAUACGGCCCAGACUCCUACGGGAGGCAGCAGUGGGGAAUAUUGCACACUGGGCGGAAGCCUGAUGCAGCAACGCCGCGUGCGGGAUGACGGCCUUCGGGUAGUAAACCGCUUUCGCCUGUGACGAAGCGUGAGUGACGGUAAUGGGUAAAGAAGCACCGGCUAACUACGU